rnacentral:rRNA from 1 species
UACGUAGGGGGCAAGCGUUGUCCGGAUUUAUUGGGCGUAAAGAGCGUGUAGGCGGCCAGAUAGGUCCGUUGUGAAAACUGGAGGCUUAACCUCCAGCGGUCGAUGGAAACCAUCUGGCUAGAGUCCGGAAGAGGAGAGUGGAAAUUCCUGGUGUAGCGGUGAAAUGCGCAGAUAUCAGGAAGAACACCCGUGGCGAAGGCGGCUCCUCUGGGAACGGGU